CCUACGGGAGGCAGCAGUGGGGAAUAUUGGGCAAUGGAGGAAACUCUGACCCAGCGACGCCGCGUGCGGGAUGAAGGCCUUCGGGCUGUAAACCGCUUCCAGUAGGGAAGAAGCGAAAGUGACGGUACCUACAAAAGAAGCACCGGCUAACUAUGUGCCAGCAGCCGCGGUAAUACAUAGGGUGCAAGCGUUGUCCGGAAUUAUUGGGCGUAAAGAGCUCGUAGGUCGUUUGUUACGUCGGAUGUGAAAACCUGAGGCUCAACCUCAGGCCUGCAUUCGAUACGGGCAAACUAGAGUUUGGUAGGGGAGACUGGAAUUCCUGGUGUAGCGGUGGAAUGCGCAGAUAUCAGGAGGAACACCAAUGGCGAAGGCAGGUCUCUGGGCCAAUACUGACACUGAGGAGCGAAAGUCUGGGGAGCGAACAGGAUUAGAUACCCUGGUAGUCCAGACCGUAAACGGUGGGCACUAGUUGUGGGAACCUUCCACGGUUUCUGCGACGCAGCUAACGCAUUAAGUGCCCCGCCUGGGGAGUACGAUCGCAAGAUUAAAACUUAAGGAAUUGACGGCNGAGACGNGCGAGCGACGACGAGGAGAG
rnacentral:rRNA from 1 species